rnacentral:rRNA from 1 species
UACGUAGGGGCAAGCGUUGUCCGGAUUUAUUGGGCGUAAAGAGCGUGUAGGCGGCCACGACAGGUCUGCCGUGAAAACCUCGAGGCUCAACCUCGAGCUGUCGGUGGAAACCGUGUGGCUAGAGUCCGGAAGAGGAGAGUGGAAUUCCUGGUGUAGCGGUGGAAUGCGCAGAUAUCAGGAGGAACACCAAUGGCGAAGGCAGAUCUCUGGGCCGUAACUGACGCUGAGGAGCGAAAGCAUGGGGAGCGAACAGG